GCCAUGGUGGCGGAACGGUAUACGCGCGCGACUCAAAAUCGCGUUCCCGUAAGGGAUUGUGGGUUCAAGUCCCACCCAUGGCACCA
rnacentral:tRNA from 1 species